CUGGCCCCAUUUUCGGCGCUUUACUUUCUAUUUCUCGCUUCUGGACGCGUGCACCUGUCGAAGUGUGCGUGUGGGUUGCUCACCGUGGGAGGGAUAGAUUGUGCCGCUCUGGGUCAUUGCGCUUGUACACACGUGAUACACAGGCACAGACGCCCAAAGUCAACUGUCGUAGCUGUUGCGGGUGUGAGCGCCGCUGCAACUGGCUGGAUGCUCGCAGACGUGACAGACACCUAUGGCCGUCCUCCAUCGGAGCGCGGCGCGCGAGGGGACGGCGGCGCCAAGCACCAGAAGAAGAAGCGGAAGACAAAGCUGAAGCGCGUCGACGAGUCAGAGCAGGACGGCUGGCUCGAUCGCGCGCGGCAGGGCCUGCACUGCUCGCUUUUCUGCGGCGGCGCUAAGUGUCGCCAGGAGAGCUGGGAGGCCAUGAAGGAGAAGGAUCAGCGUGCCGCGGCCAUCGAGGGCCUGCAGUCGAACUGGGUCGGCAACGACGUCAUCGCGAGCCAGCGACCGUCGACGUCGCUCUUUCUCAAAUACCCCAUUAUCGCUCAGUUUCAUGCCAAAAAUGUCACUGGGGUUCUCAACCUACAAGAGAAGGGUGAACAUGGCAACUGCGGGCCGGACGGCAUCUACGAAAGCAGCGGCUACAGCUACAACGGCGCCGAAGAUCUGAUGCCACACGGCAUCUCGUACUACGAGUUUCCGUGGCCGGACAUGACAGCUCCGCAACAGGACAUCGUGCUGCGCAGUGUGCAGGUCAUGGACUACCACAUCAAGCAGAAAGGUAAGGUCCUGGUACACUGCCACGCCGGGCUUGGCCGCACUGGACUCAUGAUCGCGUGCUAUUACGUGUACAGCCAGCACAUACCGUCCGACGAGGCGAUUGCGCUGGUACGCAAGAUGCGUCCUGGCGCUAUUCAGACGACGCGCCAGGCGCAGUUCAUUGCGGACUUCGAGAAGCAUCUGUGGCGACUCUCACAGGCGUUCCGGGUUGAAAUCUCCGAUGCCUUGAUUGAUCUCAACCUCUUCAUUCAGCGACAGCGCCUCGUGCUGCAUGGCGAGCAGGCAGACUUGUACAAGAGCGUGCCACUCUUUCUCCACACCAUCUUGUGCCGCCUGCUCAACCUGACGAAGAACAACCCAGAUGCGGCGCGACUGGCAUUGCAGUCCCUUGGUCCAAGCGCUGCACCAACGGACACGACGCUGUCAGCGUGCCGCAUCGCCAUCAACCGUCGCCGCUUCCGCGUGCAGAGCGUGCGUGAUGUGUCCAUUCUGAGCUUCUUGGUGUGUGACUGGUUCCGCAGCACGUCAUCGCCGGCGUUGACGGAGGAGAACUGCGACCAGAUCGUGGAGAGCAUGCGGGCUUCCAUCUCGAAGCAGGAGGGGCUGCCGUUGGAGAUUCGCCGUAUCCUGUCGAAGCCGGCGCGCCACACCCUGGGGAUGGUGAUCUCGGCGUUCAUUAUCAUCUCAAGGCAGGUGGGCUGCGUCAGCCUUACAAACUUUGCCUUCCGCUGCGUCGUCGACUCCUUCAACCACGCCUUCAACCCUAUCAAGGUUCGCCACAGCCCGCUCGAGCGCGAGCUUAUUCACAAGUUUUUCUUGGAGUGGGGUGAGAGCGUAGGGGACUUGUACUUUAACUACGACACCGUACCCGCCGCGCACCGCACCAUCAAGCGGAUUGCGCUGGCCUCCUCCAUUGUACUGGAGGCGACGAAGAACACCGAUCCGCCGCGGAGGAGCUCGCCUAGUGUUCAGACCCUCUCAGUGCCGUCGUCCACGCAGGAGAUGCCUAGCAACCCAGCCAAAAAAACGGAGGCCCCUGAGUCUACGCUGGUCUUUUCUACUCAAAGUCGUGCUUCCCACCUGCCAGACAUGCCCCUCGCCGUCGAAACGGACUCGGAAAGCAAAACACGCCUCUGGCGGCAACACUUGAUCGAGUACCGCCGUGACACGGAUGCUCGGUGUGGCCGCGGCGAGCAACAGCGUCCGCCCGCCUCUUCAGUCGACGCCAAGGUAAAGCGCUGAAAUAGCGGCGCGCUUUCUUUCUCUCUCUGUGUUCGGGUGCGUGUUUGCUUGAGUGCGCGUGUGCGUAUCGGCGCCUCCCCUCUCCCUCCUCCUUCUUUCCCCUCAUACACCCACCUACCUCUACCCUGUCACGCACACAUAUAUUUAUGAGGGAGGCAUAGAAGAUGCAGCAGCGGCAGAGAGUAGUAUGGCUGUUGUGGCUGUGGUUAUAUAUCUAUGUGUGUGCAGGUGUGCCUCUUCUCCUCCUUUCGGUUCUGGGUGUGCUUUCCAGCCACCUCAUGUCGAUGCCGUGACACACCCUUCCCCUUUGUUUUUCAGCUUUUGAGGGGUAUGCGCGAAUCGGUCGCCGCUAUCCCCGUCUUGUUCUGUUUUCGGUCCUUUUGGGAGACCUGCGCCUCACCCCAAAUCGCCAUCUCGCCCCCUUCUAAUUUUGUUGCUCCUCUCUUUGGCGACUCUCGUCGGGUUUGUUUUCUGUUUCUUCACCAUCACCUGUUCUUUGCUUUAUCGGUUGGCGAGGCCCCCAAACGGCGCGCUGAUAAGCACGUGUACGUGCACGCGCACAGAUGUGGGCAGGCGCACAUAUACAGACACACGCGGAUUUCUCGACACCGUCUAUUUUCACUUCACUCAACGUUAUCCACUCCUCUGCCGAGUUGCGCACACACGUACACAUGCACGCCGAGAUGCAGUGGCCCAUCAAAGUAGUGGGGGUGACGUGGCACUGCUUGUCCGGUUCUGUGAGUGUGUUUGCGCCUGUGUGUGCGCGAUCUCAUCCUGGUUCACCGCUCGUCGCUCUUCUAGGCAGGUGAUCUGUUAUGUCCACUCAACUGUUUUUGUUUGCAUUAAUUUUGGCCCCUUUUCUGUUUUUUUUUUAGAGUGCCGCAGCUUCCAUUGCAGAGUUUAGCCGCUCUCUCUCCAUCCCUUCCUCUCCCCCAUUUUCGUCUUUGCCGUGUCGUCUCUCGCUUCAUCUCCUUCUUUUCUGCGUCGUCGUCGCGACUCGCGCUGCUCCCAACACGUCAAAACGUGACGGCUUGGAAAAAGGCAAGACGAAAUCGAAUGCGAGAGAAAAUGCCUAUAGGAGAAGUGGGGCGUGCGUAUACGCGUCUUGCGGUCACUGAAGGACGUUCUUUCGAGGUCUCAGUUGCGGAGGGUAUUGCUCGCUCGCGCGGGCGUGUUUCACUAUUUUCCCUUUCUCUGUCACUGCUGUCCAC
rnacentral:misc_RNA from 1 species